rnacentral:rRNA from 1 species
UACGUAGGGGCAAGCGUUGUCCGGAAUCAUUGGGCGUAAAGAGCUUGUAGGCGGUUUGUCGCGUCUGCCGUGAAAAUCCGAGGCUCAACCUCGGACUUGCGGUGGGUACGGGCAGACUAGAGUGUGGUAGGGGAGACUGGAAUUCCUGGUGUAGCGGUGAAAUGCGCAGAUAUCAGGAGGAACACCGAUGGCGAAGGCAGGUCUCUGGGCCACUACUGACGCUGAGAAGCGAAAGCGUGGGGAGCGAACAGG